rnacentral:rRNA from 1 species
UACGAAGGGGGCUAGCGUUGCUCGGAAUCACUGGGCGUAAAGCGCACGUAGGCGGACUCUUAAGUCAGGGGUGAAAUCCUGGAGCUCAACUCCAGAACUGCCUUUGAUACUGAGAGCCUUGAGUCCGGGAGAGGUGAGUGGAACUGCGAGUGUAGAGGUGAAAUUCGUAGAUAUUCGCAAGAACACCAGUGGCGAAGGCGGCUCACUGGCCCGGUACUGACGCUGAGACUCGAAAGCGUGGGGAGCAAACAGG